CGAAUGGGCAAGCGUUGUUCGGAAUCACUGGGCGUAAAGCGUACGUAGGCGGUUAUGCAAGUCAGAAGUGAAAUCCCAGGGCUCAACCUUGGAAUUGCUUUUGAAACUGCAUAGCUAGAGUCCCGGAGAGGUUGGCGGAAUUCCGAGUGUAGAGGUGAAAUUCGCAGAUAUUCGGAGGAACACCAGUGGCGUAGGCGGCCAACUGGACGGGAACUGACGCUGAGGUACGAAAGCGUGGGGAGCAAACAGGAUU
rnacentral:rRNA from 1 species